UACGAAGGGUGCAAACGUUGCUCGGAAUUCUUGGGCGUAAAGCGCACGUAGGCGGCUUUGCAAGUCGGAUGUGAAAUCCCUCGGCUUAACCAAGGAAGUGCAUCCGAAACUGCAGAGCUUGAGUACUUAAGAGGAUCGCGGAAUUCCCGGUGUAGAGGUGAAAUUCGUAGAUAUCGGGAGGAACACCAGUGGCGAAGGCGGCGAUCUGGGAAGAUACUGACGCUGAGGUGCGAAAGCGUGGGGAGCAAACAGG
rnacentral:rRNA from 1 species